GACAGAGUUUGAUGAAUUGUAAAAAAUAAUAUUGUACAAAAUCAACUAAAAAAUGUUUUGUCAUUUGUGUCGAAAACAACAAAAUGCUUACUUACAAGCCCUUAACCAACAAUGCAGUUCAAGAAAUAGAGUUAAGAAAAUAUUUUCUAAAUAAACUAAAGUAAAAAUGUUUUAAUAAAAAGUAACACAAUAAAAUAACUUAAACGAGGUACCGGUACUGAGUUAAUGUGCUGGGGUACAGGUUAGUAAUGAGGCUAUAUACAGGGGGUACCGGUACUGAGUUAAUGUGUUGGGGUACAGGUUAGUAAUGAGGCUAUAUACAGGGGGUACCAGUACUGAGUCAAUGUGCUGGGGUACAGGUUAGUAAUGAGGCUCUAUACAGGGGGUACCGGUACUGAGUCAAUGUGGAGGCUAUAUACAGGGGGUACCGGUACUGAGUCAAUGUGGAGGCUAUAUACAGGGGGUACCGGUACUGAGUCAAUGUGGAGGCUAUAUACAGGGGGCUAUAUACAGGGGGUAUUGGUACCGAGUCAAUGUGGAGGCUAUAUACAGGGGGUACCCGUACUGAGUUAAUGUGCAUGGGUACAGGUUAGUAAUGAGGCUCUAUACAGGGGGUAUCGGUACUGAGUCAAUGUGGAGGCUAUAUACAGGGGGUACCAGUACAGAGUCAAUGUGUGGGGGUACAGGUUAGAGGUCAUUUGUACAUGUAGGUGUGGGUGAAGUGACUACGCAUAGAUAAUAAACAGCGAGUGUAAAAACAAAAGGGGGGGGGGGUCAAUCUAAACAGUCCCGGUGGCCAUUUGAUUAAUUCAUCUUCAGGAUUCUUAUAGCUGUUCAAAAGUAUAUUUUGGUAGAAGCUGUUAAAGAGCCUUUAGGACCCAGACUUGGCGCUACGGUACCGCUUGCCGUGAGGUAGCAGAGAGAACAGUCUAUGACUUGAUGACUGGAGUCUCUGACCAUUUUUUGGGCCUUCCUCUGACACCGCCUGGUAUAGAGGUCCUUGAUGGUAGGAAGCUUGGCCCCAGUGAUGUACUGGGCUGUACGCACUACCCUCUGUAUCGCCUUACGGUCGGAUGCCGAGCAGGCAGUGAUGCAACCGGUAAGGAUGGUCUCGAUGGUGCAGCUGUAAGAACUUUUUGAGGAUCUCAGGACCAAAUCUUUUCAGUCUCCUGAGGGGGAAAAUGCUUUGUCGUGCCCUCCACAACUUUAAUAUAAUUUUUGAAAACUUUUUACCCCUUUUUCUCCCCAAUUUCGUGAUAUCCAAUUGGUAGUAGUUACAGUCUUGUCACAUCGCUGCAACUCCCGUACGGACUAGGGAGAGGCGAAGGUCGAGAGCCACGCGUCCUCCGAAACACAACUCAGCCAAGCCGCUCUGCUUCUUGGCACAUUGCUCACUUAACCCGGAAGCCAGUCGCACCAAUGUGUUGGAGGAAACACUGUACAACUAGUGAUCAUGUCAGCACUGAGCCCAGCCUACCACAAGGAGUUGCUAGAGUGUGAUGGGACAAGGACAUCCCGGCCACCAAUCCCUCCCGGACGACGCUGGUCCAAUUGUGCACCGCUUCACUCCCUGUCGCGGCCGGCUGCGACACAGCCCAGGAUCGAAGCUGGAUAUGUAGUGAUGCCUCAAGCACUGCAAUGCAGUGUCUUAGUUCUUCACAACUUUGUUGGUGUGUUUGGGCCAUGAUUUGGGUUAUGUGGACACCAAGGAACUUAAAACUCUCGAACCGCUCCACGACAGCUUUGUCGAUGUGAAUGGGGGUGUGUUCGGCCCUCCUUUUUCUGUAGUCCACGGUUGUUGUCCUGGCACUACCAGGUCUCUGACCUCCUCCCUAUAGGCUGUCUCAUCGUUGUCUGUGAUCAGGCCUACAACAGUUGGGUCAUCAGCAAACUUGAUGGUGUUGGAGUCGUGCAUCCACGCAGUCGUGGAUGGACAGGGAAUACAGGAGGGGACUAAGCACGCAUCCCUGGGGGGCCUCCAUGGCAGAUGUUUUGUUGCCUACCAUUACCACCUGGGGGUGGCCCAUCAACAAGUCCAGGAUCCAGGGUCCUUAGCGUAUUCCUUAGCGUAUUUAUGAGGUUCGUGGGCACCAUGGUGUUGAACGCUGAGCUGUAGUCAAUGAACAGCAUUCUCACAUAGGUGUGUUCCUUUUGUCCAGGUGGGAAAAGGCAGUGUGGAGUGCGAAUGAGAUUGCGUCAUCUGUGGAUCUGUUGGUGCGGUAUCCGAAUUGGAGUGGGUCUAGGGUUUCUGGGAGGAUGGUAUUGAUGUGAGCCAUGAAGGCUAUUCCAUGUGAGAAAUUGCCAAGAAACUGAAGAUCUUGUACAACACUGUGUUGUGUUAACCAGAAGAGAAAGAGCAGUGGGAGGCCCCGGUGCACAACUGAGCAAGAGGACAAGUACAUUAGAGUAUCAAGUUUGAGAAACAGACACCUCAAAAGUCCUCAACUGGCAGCUUCAUUAAAUUGUACCCGCAAAACACCAGUCUCAACGUCAACAGUGAAGAAGUGACUCCAGGAUGCUGGCCUUCUAGGUACACAGAAAACUAGAGUUUUCAAAGAAAACAUAUCUCAGACUGGCCAAUAAAAAGAAAAGAUUAAGAUGGGAAAAAGAACACAGACACUGGACAGAGGAACUCUGCCUAGAAGGACAGCAUCCCGGAGUCGCCUCUUCACUGUUGACGUUGAGACUGGACAGAGGAACUCUGCCUAGAAGGACAGCAUCCCGGAGUCGCCUCUUCACUGUUUCACUGCUAAAGGUGCUUCAACACACCGAGUAAAGGGUCUGAACACUAUUUUUUUACAUUUACAAACAUUUUUAAAAACUUAUUUUUGCAUGGUCAGUAUGGGGUAUUGAUGAAACAAAAAAAAAAAAAUGUAAUUUUACUAUUUUAUAAUUGUAUAAUAAUCUCUAACAUCACAUAACGGGGGAAAAGUCAGACAAUAUUGUUAUUAUUUCUUUAUUAGAAUUGUUUUUUUCACUUUUAUUAAAUACUUUUUAAAAUUCUAGUAUUUUUACUUUUUUAAAAUUCUAGUAUUUUUGUAGAUCGACAAUUAACAACAUUUUGAAAAAGGGGGCUUGAAUACUUUCAGAAGACAUAAAAAUACCAAAUGAAAAACUUUCAACAAAACACCAAAGACACUAGAACAGGGUGGAUAAAAACAUAACAAAAUACUGAACUUAAUUUCGAUGAAAA